rnacentral:misc_RNA from 1 species
GAUGAAGAACGCAGCGAAAUGCGAUAAGUAAUGUGAAUUGCAGAAUUCAGUGAAUCAUCGAAUCUUUGAACGCACAUUGCGCCCGCCAGUAUUCUGGCGGGCAUGCCUGUUCGAGCGUCAUUACAACCCUCAGGCCCCCGGGCCUGGCGUUGGGGAUCGGCGGAGCCCCCCGUGGGCACACGCCGUCCCCCAAAUGCAGUGGCGGUCCCGCCGCAGCUUCCAUCGCGUAGUAGCUAACACCUCGCGACUGGAGAGCGGCGCGGCCACGCCGUAAAACACCCAACUCUUCUGAAGUUGACCUCGUAUCAGGUAGGAAUACCCGCUGAACUUAAGCAUAUCAAUAAGCGGAGGA